rnacentral:lncRNA from 1 species
CUGACCUCUUUUUCUGUUUUCUUAUCUCUCAUUCUGGACAAUAAACUUAAAGUUAAGGACUGUGUCUAGUUUAUUGUAAUGUAACCCCAAAGUAGCAUUUAGAACACUUUAGGUGAGCAAUAAUUGUGUGUGGUUGAAUUGGAUGCCUUUUUUCAUCACCGUUGCAAGAACUUAAUUCAAAUAAAAUGAAAUAAAAAUUGAAUUCUGAUGAGAAGCCUGACAUUGGAUAUUCUGACUGUCCUGAAUACUGGAAUAGGCAUCAAGCCUUCUACACUCUGUCUGGAUUCUGUAACUAACUUGCUCAGAAUGACCUUAGAUUAACCACUUAAUGUUUUAAAAUUUCAUGACUUUAUUUUAGAAACUUGCCUGCCCCUACCUUGGCAUAUUAUCAAGAUCAAACAGAAUAGUGGUAUUAUCAAGAUCAAACAGACAAAAAGGCACAAACUGCUACGUAAGAGCAAUUUAUGGUUAUGAUUUUGCUUUGAACAAAAUGGUGAAUUGCUUUUUUUGUGAGUUAAGACUCUUAGAAACCUCUCUUCAUGCUGAUGGAGCAGGAAUAGAGGGCAAGCCUUAAUACCUUUUUAUGAUCUGGAUAGUACCUAUAGGAAUUCAAUCUCUUCUGUCCAACUGAUGCUUGUAAUUCAUGGCUAAGUAUUCAAAAGAGAACAGGCUCCCUCUGUUAUCUACCUGGCAGGAGCUGUUUGUGUAGGAACCUGAGGUUUAAAAGCCUUUGAAACUAUUACUGAUUAAAUUAGCAAAAGAAAUGCCUUUGUCCCUGAGGUCACCUGGUUUUCAAUCAAUCUUAAUAUAUAUGCUGACAUUCUUGGGUCUCAUUACCCACAACAAAGAAUCCAUAAGAUUGCUGAUCUUCAGGAAGGCCAAGGCUAGCUUGUAGGGUCCCAUUUAUUACAAUCCCUUGACAGGUGGAAAGAAUCUUACAAUACCUCUGUCUGAUGCAGGGGCUUCAUUAAUGUCUGUGUUAUUCUAUUUUAUAAUGCUUAAUGCUAUGCUUCCAUUAUGAGGUUUCUCAAUGUGAUAUCUGAAAACAAAUAAUGCAUUCAUGACUCAAUUAAUGAACAUUGGAUUUGACCAGUACAUAAAAAUACAUGGAUACCCACUGUUUCCUUUCCCCUCCUCUCUCCAAUGCCAAGAAGCAGCUAAAACUCAUCUGAUUUGUUUGGUCUUUGGUGUCUAAUGUGGAGCAGUGUCUAAUGUGAGGUUUCUUGGCCCAUCUUCCUCCUUCUUUCCAAUCCACCUUGCCUUUCCCUUCCCACCCAAUUAACUCUUCUUGCAGCCCAGUUAACUAUAGACAUUUGCUUCUCAUAUGCAUCCUUUCCAAUCACAUUCUCUUCUUCAUUCUUUUUCAUUUCCAACUCCCUUCUGGUGACCUUUAAUAAAAAACCUUUAUUUGUGCAC